rnacentral:rRNA from 1 species
UGAGGAAUAUUGGUCAAUGGGCGGAAGCCUGAACCAGCCAAGUCGCGUGAGGGACUAAGGCCCUGCGGGUCGUAAACCUCUUUUGCCGGGGAGCAGUGGUCCGGACGCGUCCGGACCGGGAGAGUACCCGGAGAAAAAGCAUCGGCUAACUCCGUGCC